AAUAUUGGGACAUAUAAAAAAAGACAAAUCUGUUCCGCAGAGUAGCUGUUGACAUAGUUGCGCAGACACUUUGUUGACUCUAGAGAACCUUGGGUCAAUCGCACAUCCCAGUGGCGGAGACUUUGCAUGCGGAUCUCAUCCAUAUCAACUUUCGAUGCCAGUUUCUGCGCCUACCAUGGUGACCACAGGUAACGGGGAAUCAGGGUUCCAUUCCAUACAGGGACCCUGAGAAUCAGCCACCACAUGCAAGGAAGGCAGCAGGCGCGCAAAUGACCCACUCCCAAUGCGGGAAGGUAGUGA